CCUACGGGUGGCAGCAGUGGGGAAUAUUGGACAAUGGGGGGAACCCUGAUCCAGCCAUGCCGCGUGUGUGAAGAAGGCCCUCGGGUUGUAAAGCACUUUCAGUGAGGAAGAACGCCUGGUGGUUAAUACCCAUCAGGAAAGACAUCACUCACAGAAGAAGCACCGGCUAACUCCGUGCCAGCAGCCGCGGUAAUACGGAGGGUGCGAGCGUUAAUCGGAAUUACUGGGCGUAAAGCGCGCGUAGGUGGCUUGAUAAGCCGGUUGUGAAAGCCCCGGGCUCAACCUGGGAACGGCAUCCGGAACCGUCAAGCUAGAGUGCAGGAGAGGAAGGUAGAAUUCCCGGUGUAGCGGUGAAAUGCGUAGAGAUCGGGAGGAAUACCAGUGGCGAAGGCGGCCUUCUGGACUGACACUGACACUGAGGUGCGAAAGCGUGGGUAGCAAACAGGAUUAGAUACCCUAGUAGUC
rnacentral:rRNA from 1 species